CUUCACUGCGUCCUGAUGACCCAGCCUCGCAAGGAGGGGCCCGUGCUCCUCUUGUCCUCAGCGAGGGGAGAAAACCAUUUGUCCCCAGGCCCCUUCUGUGUUAGGCUCCCUGGCCCUCUGCCCCUCUCAGCCUAGCCCCUGCUUUGCUCCUCUUCCAC
rnacentral:lncRNA from 1 species